UUCCACUCCACGUCUGCGGUGAACUUUCCGAGGCGGCUGGAGUAACGGAGCAGUCUGUAGCAGUAGUGGCUGAAGGGGAUGCCCUUCUCUUGCUUCUGGUGGCAUUUGUUGGCGAGCCAAUGGAGGAAGGUGCUGCUGAACCUGUCCCUGCCGACUGCCUUGCCUUCUGCCGCGGCUGCCAGCUGCUGUUCGUCCUCGUCUGUGUGUGUGAACUUGCCGUUAACUGUGAUCUGUUCAUAGAGAAAA